AAAGACAUGACAUUAACCUUAAUCGUUAUGUAUGAGGUUAAUUUUAGUAAUCAAUCGGUAUAAAAGAUCCAAUCGUUCCUCCAGAGCAUCAGUGUGAUACAAUUUUCACUCAAGAUGAAAUACCAAACUAGUUUAAUCCUAUUCUUGUCUAUUUGUUUUUCAUUUGCUUUUUGUAUCCACUUAUCGCCACCGUCUGAUGAAAAGGAGGCGAGACAUUAUUGUGGUGACGCCUUAAGUUCGAUGAUGUAUCUGGUGUGUAGAGGCCGAUAUGCAAGUUACCAUAAAAAAUCAGUCGGACAAUUGUGGAAAUAUGGCCUGCCUGAAGAAGAAGAAAUGAAGCAGAUUGAAUAUGAUGAUGGCCCAAAUGAUAUUUCGGUUAGGAAACGUCAAAUUGUUCAAGACUGCUGCUACAAACCAUGCACAAUAGAAUAC